AAGGGGGAGAGGGGUGGGAUAUAGCGAUGGAGGGUAUAUGGAGAUUCAAGAUACAGGUGAUUGGGGGGUGUUGAGUGUAUUGUUGGGGUUUGGAAGGGUAUAAUCUUUACUCUUUCUACCUCCCUGUGUGUCAGAUAUAAUGCCAUAGUAAAGUACAAGACUGCCUUCUACUCCUUCUACCUCCCUGUGUGUCAGAUAUAAGGCCAUAGUAAAGUACAAGACUGCCUUCUACUCCUUCUACCUCCCUGUGUGUCAGAUAUAAGGCCAUAGUAAAGUACAAGACUGCCUUCUACUCCUUCUACCUCCCUGUGUGUCAGAUAUAAGGCCAUAGUAAAGUACAAGACUGCCUUCUACUCCUUCUACCUCCCUGUGUGUCAGAUAUAAGGCCAUAGUAAAGUACAAGA